rnacentral:rRNA from 1 species
UACGGAGGAUGCAAGCGUUAUCCGGAAUGAUUGGGCGUAAAGCGUCCGCAGGUGGCAAUGUAAGUCUGCUGUCAAAGCGUCUGGCUCAACCAGAUAAAGGCAGUGGAAACUACAUAGCUAGAGUAAGGUAGGGGUAGAGGGAAUUCCUGGUGUAGCGGUGAAAUGCGUAGAGAUCAGGAAGAACACCGGUGGCGAAAGCGUUCUGCUAGGCCUGUACUGACACUGAGGAACGAAAGCUAGGGGAGCGAAUGGG